CCUACGGGAGGCAGCAGUAGGGAAUCUUGCGCAAUGGAGGAAAGCCUGAUCCAGUAACGCCGCGUGAGUGAAGAAGGAUUUCGGUAUGUAAAGCUCUAUUAGCAGAGAAGAAAAUGACAGUACCUGACUAAGAAUCCCCGGCUAACUACGAGCCAGCAGCCGCGGUAAUACGUAGGGGGCAAGCGUUAGCCGGAUUUACUGGGUGUAAAGUGAGCGUAGACGGCUGCGCAAGUCAGAAGUGAAAGCCCGGGGCUCAACCGCGGGACUGCAUUUGAAACUGUGUGGCUUGAGUGCAGGAGAGGUAAGUGGAAUUCCUAGUGUAGCGGUGAAAUGCGUAGAUAUUAGGAGGAACACCGGUGGCGAAGGCGGCUUACUGGACUGUAACUGACGUUGAGGCUCGAAAGCGUGGGGAGCAAACAGGAUUAGAUACCCGUGUAGUC
rnacentral:rRNA from 1 species